UACGAAGGGGGCUAGCGUUGCUCGGAAUCACUGGGCGUAAAGGGUGCGUAGGCGGGUCUUUAAGUCAGGGGGGAAAUCCCAAGGCUCAACCUUGGAACUGCCUUUGAUACUGGGGAUCUCGAGUCCGGCAGAGGUGAGUGGAACUGCGAGUGUAGAGGUGAAAUUCGUAGAUAUUCGCAAGAACACCAGUGGCGAAGGCGGCUCACUGGUCCGGUACUGACGCUGAGGUGCGAAAGCGUGGGGAGCAAACAGG
rnacentral:rRNA from 1 species